UGGGGGAUCUUGCGCUAAUGCGCGAAAGCGUGACGCAGCGACGCCGCGUGGGGGAUGAAGGCCCUCGGGUCGUAAACCCCUUUCGGCAGGGACGAAGCGAAAGUGACGGUACCUGCAGAAGAAGUCCCGGCUAACUACGUGCCAGCAGCCGCGGUAACACGUAGGGGACGAGCGUUGUCCGGAUUCAUUGGGCGUAAAGCGCGCGUAGGCGGCUCGGAAAGUCGGUUGUGAAAUGCCGGGGCUCAACCCCGGGACUGCGUCCGAUACUUCCGAGCUGGAGGUAGGUAGGGGAGAUCGGAAUUCCUGGUGUAGCGGUGAAAUGCGCAGAUAUCAGGAGGAACACCGGUGGCGAAGGCGGAUCUCUGGGCCUUACCUGACGCUGAGGCGCGAAAGCUAGGGGAGCGAACAGG
rnacentral:rRNA from 1 species